rnacentral:rRNA from 1 species
CAGUAUAGCCAUACCACCCUGAUGUGCCUGAUCUUGUCUGAUCUUGGAAGCAAAGCAGGGUAGGGCCUGGUUAGUACUUGAAUGGGAGUUGUUUUGUUUGGCUGGAGAAGAAGACCAGGACCUGGGGUUC